rnacentral:rRNA from 1 species
AUAUGUGACUGCAUACUGCUUUGAACAUCGACAUCUUGAACGCAUAUUGCGGCCAUGGGUUAGCCUGUGGCCACGCCUGUCCGAGGGUCGGCUU